rnacentral:rRNA from 1 species
GAGUUUGAUUAUGGCUCAGGAUGAACGCUGGCGGCGUGCCUAACACAUGCAAGUCGAGCGCGGUUGUGCUUAGUAUUGAGUGUUUUAUUGAUAUAAACCAUUGAAUUCUAUGCACAACUGAGCGGCGGACGGGUGAGUAACGCGUGGGUAACCUGCCCUAUACACAUGGAUAACAUACUGAAAAGUUUACUAAUACAUGAUAAAAUAGUUUUUCGGCAUCGAAGAAUUAUCAAAGUGUUAGCGGUAUAGGAUGGACCCGCGUCUGAUUAGCUAGUUGGUGAGAUAACUGCCCACCAAGGCGACGAUCAGUAGCCGACCUGAGAGGGUGAUCGGCCACAUUGGAACUGAGACACGGUCCAAACUCCUACGGGAGGCAGCAGUGGGGAAUAUUGCACAAUGGGCGCAAGCCUGAUGCAGCAACGCCGCGUGAACGAUGAAGGUCUUCGGAUCGUAAAGUUCUGUUGCAGGGGAAGAUAAUGACGUACCCUNGNG